rnacentral:rRNA from 1 species
AUAAUUGUUUGGUUAAUACUUAACAAAAUAUUGAAGACCGGAGAUUUUGUUGUAGUACAAGGUUUAUGGAAACUUUAUCGGGAGCUAUAGGGGUAGUACUGUGAAGGAAGGCUGAAAUAGUGUGUAUAUAUUUAAACUGAUAAAAGAAGGGGUGUGACUCCGUACCUUUUGUAUGAUGGUUUAGUAAGUGUUGCGACUGCUGAUAGGGUCGAGCCCGAAGCUGGGCGAGCUAAUAUAGGCUGUUCGUGAGGAAUACUAACCGUUACUGUUGCAGUAGUAAGGUUUGAGCUUAUAUUAGGUGUGAGAUGCUAAUCGCGCCCAGGGAUAGCUGGUUCCCUCGGAGAGUAGUGUGAGCUAGUACUUCAUGUGUGUUGGGGAGCUGUUACCAGCUCUGGUAAGUGAGUGUUGUCCUGGCACCGUUGUAGUUGGUAGACAAGAGGGGAUAAGCUUUCUUGUCUGGGAAGAAAAAGCUUUGUUUAUAGGUUAAGGGCAGGUUUUGUAGAUUAACGCGCUGUUUUUAUAAAAGGAGUAGGAUUAAUAUCAUCUAUCUGGCUUGAUUACGUUAAAGUUCGUUUUAUUUAGGAAAGCGCGAGUAAAUUAAUGCUUGGUGUUUCUUAGGCUGUAAUUUAUUUAUGGGGGAUCUUCAUGUUUUGAAGGUUAUGUUGCUAAAAUUAGUAAGAGUGGUAAGACCUUUUGUGUUUUAAACAAUCCUAACAUUGGAUGGGGGGGCUUAUUUAAUACAGGAAUAGUAGCCUUGGUUUAUUGUCUUCUAACACAAGAGGUUCUUGGUUGUAAAAAUAAGGAAAAGGAACUCGGCAAGUUUUUAUUUCGCCUGUUUACCAAAAACAUCGCCCCUUGUAAAAGCUUCGGCUGACGUAUAAGGGGUCCUGCCUGCCCGGUGACUUAGUUAAACGGCCGCGGUAUUUUGACCGUGCAAAGGUAGCAUAAUCAUUUGCCUUUUAAAUGGGGGCUGGUAUGAAUGGCAAGACGGAAGUGGAGCUGUCUCUUUCUUGUUUUCCGAAUUUAAUUUCUUUGUGAGGAAGCAAAGAUGUAGCCGUGGGACGAGAAGACCCUGUCGAGCUUUAGUGGGUCCACACAAGUGGGUAUUUCGAGCCGUUUGUUGCUAAUUUGCUUAUUAGAGGUAUUAGUGUUACGAAGCAGGGGGCUUUCAUUUUGUGUGGGUCGGUUUUGGUUGGGGCAACCGCGGAGAAGAAGGAUCCUCCGCUGUGUAGAUUAGGGAAAAAGUAUGGUUUUCCUUAUGUAGGUUUUUUUGUUUGAUCCACCGUUUUGGGUGAGCAGAAGAAUAAGUUACCGCAGGGAUAACAGCGUAAUUCCUUUGGAGAGUUCAUAUUGAUAAGGGGGUUUGCGACCUCGAUGUUGGAUCGGGAUUUCCUGGGGGUGCAGCAGCUCCCGAGGGUUGGUCUGUUCGACCAUUAAAAUCCUACGUGAUCUGAGUUCAGACCGGCGGGAGCCAGGUCAGUUUCUAUCCGCGGGUAUUUGAUUAGUAGUUCUCCUUAGUACGAAAGGAUUGGGGGGACGGCAUCUAUGUUUUUAGACAGGUGUCUAGGGGAAGUCCUGGGGGAAGAUGAAGGGAAAAUACAAAUUGUAGAUGCUU